rnacentral:rRNA from 1 species
UAUGAUCCAGAGUACCACGGGACACGUGAAACCCUGUGGGAAGCAGGAGGGACCACCCUCCAAGGCUAAAUACUACCUAGUGACCGAUAGCGUAUAGUACCGUGAGGGAAAGGUGAAAAGAACCCCGGGAGGGGAGUGAAAUAGAACCUGAAACCCUGCACUUACAAGCUGUGGAAGCACAUUUCUUGUGUGACCGCGUACUUUUUGUAGAACGGGCCAACGAGUUACGUUAAGUAGCAAGGUUAAGCACUUAAGGUGCGGAGCCGUAGCGAAAGCGAGUUUUAACUGAGCGUUCAGUUACUUGACGUAGACCCGAAACCGGGCGACCUACCCAUGAGCAGGAUGAAGCGAAAGUAAAAUUUCGUGGAGGUCCGAACCCACGAGCGUUGAAAAGCUCGGGGAUGACUUGUGGGUAGCGGUGAAAUUCCAAUCGAGCCCGGAGAUAGCUGGUUCUCCCCGAAAUAGCUUUAGGGCUAGCCUCAAGGUGAGAGAUACGGAGGUAGAGCACUGAAUGUCCUAGGGGGUAUUGCACCUACCGAAGACUAUCAAACUCCGAAUGCCGUCAUCUUAUACUUGGGAGUCAGACUGUGGGUGAUAAGAUUCAUAGUCGAAAGGGCAACAGCCCAGAUCGUCAGCUAAGGUCCCUAAAUGUAAGUUAAGUGGUAAAGGAUGUGGGAUUGCACAGACAACCAGGAUGUUGGCUUAGAAGCAGCCACUCAUUCAAAGAGUGCGUAAUAGCUCACU